CUGAUUUAUUGCAAUGGAUGAUACAGAGAAGCAGAUGUUUUUCUAAACAGUGUUUUUAUGGCAGCUUCAUUCCCUAGGCAUGAUCGAUUAAAUCAUGGGCCAUCGAUGAUGAGCUUCACCUCCAUCUCCCCUUGCCUCCCUGGAGGCGGCACAGAAUAGCUGAAAGCCCGGGGCUUCUCAUCCCACCUGGUCUUUGGGAACCAGCCCUCGACCUGCAGAUCCCUGGAGGCUGCCAGCCAUCAGGCAACUCGCUGACAUCAGAAGUCCUGUGCCAGGAAAUGGGGAUGAGAAGUGAAUAUUUAUUUCACCGCAUCAGAGACACAUGUUUCAACUAUUGUAGCCCUCGGACACACCUGGAAUAAUGUUUAACCAGAUAUCUGGGUAUCUUGUGGCCUGGUCAAGGUGACACAAAAUUAACCACCUUAUACCUCUUCUAUAGGGCUGACAUUAUUCUCCUUACACAAAAGCUAACUUAAAGUCGGCAAUACUUCUUUAUCUUGACACCUGUUUGUGAAACACCCCCAUGUGCCAGGCAUGGCACUACGUGCCGGGGAUACAGUGGGGAACGAGGGACGGAACCUGCCUGCUGUCAGCAGGGCUACACGGUAACAGAGAGAGCCAAUGGGGGAGUAUGAGAAUUCGUAAUGAAAUGACAGAAUGUCAGCAGCGCCAAGGAGGAGAUAAACAGGGGGGAAGGGAGGUAGGCGAUGAGUCAUUCGCAGCUGCUGGCAAGGUGAGACCUUGCCGAGGCAGAAAGGAGGCAGGUGAGAGAGCAAAAGUUGAACUGGGAGCAAAGCUGAUGGGCUUGAGGUGUUCCGUACAGAUGACAAAGCAGCUGUAGCUUUGCUGGUUUCGUGAAGAUGCAGGAUCAUACCCGACUGAUCCUUCUCCUCGGGCAGCCUGUGGGCGGAGGCGCACAGGACCUGGGAGGGCCCAUGCUGCCAGGCAGCGGGGGCACCGCACACCGCGCAGGCCAGGACAAGCCCUGCCGAGUCUUGCGAGGCAGGAGCUGCUAGUGGCAGAACGGGCGCAGGAACUCAGGCUUCUGCAGCUCUGCGCAGCCACGGGACUCCUGCCAAGGACCACAAGAUGCCGGAUAUCCUCUAGGAAGGGGAAGACUCCUAGGCAGCUGCUUCAAAAUCUGCCUCUAGAUUUGUCAUCCCUUGAAGUAAACGUCACGUGUGCGCAAAGGCCUUCUCGCCCACCAUGCAUUUUGACCUGGCUGAGUCUGUAAGAGCAGCCCAGAGUUCCUUGAGUCCCUCAGGGCUGUGCUGCAGGCCCAGGUGAACUGCAGCCCUGCCUGCUGGCCUCUCAGGCGCCCUGUCCAGCUGCAGUGACAUGUGGCACGGCCAGCAUGGUGUUCACUUUAUUAGUUCAAUAGUUUUAUAGGGAAAAAAAGCAUGGCUGAGAACUCCCCAGGCCACGCUCCUGGAAAGCAGCAGUGGUUCCGCAGCACGCCCAGAAGCAGGCGCCGCCACGCGGCCUGCAGCAGUGUAGGGAGAUGGCAGCCGGCGCCCAGGAGGAAGUGAACAGCAUCUUGGGCGGGCCGAUGCAGCCGGGCCGUGCAUGGCGUGGAUCACUGCGUUCACAGGGCGAGAGAGAAAAGAACCCCACGUGACACUUCUCAGUCUGUUAAGGCCUUUUUAUUUUCACACGCAUUUGGAAGAAUCCGUUGCAUUAAACGAAGCUUUGGAAACGGCACAGAGGCAGGCCCGAGGGUUAAGCCAUGCUCUUAACUUAGGAACUGACUUCUCUAGCCCAUUCUCCGUAACAGAUUCCAUGAGUGUUUAAGAGAGACACGACAAACUUCCGGAAAGAAAACAAAAUGGUCUUUUUGCUAU
rnacentral:lncRNA from 1 species